rnacentral:rRNA from 1 species
GACGAACGCUGGCGGCGUGCCUAAUACAUGCAAGUAGAACGCUGAAGAGAGGAGCUUGCUCUUCUUGGAUGAGUUGCGAACGGGUGAGUAACGCGUAGUUAACCUGUCUGGUAGCGGGGGAUAACUAUUGGAAACGAUAGCUAAUACCGCAUAACAACAGUUGUUGCAUUACUGCAGUUUAAAAGAGGCAAUUGCAUCACUACCAGAUGGACCGGCGUUGUAUUAGGUAGUGGGUGAGGUAACGGCUCACCAAGGCGACGAUACAGAGCCGACCCGAGAGGGUGAGCGGCCACACCGGGACUGAGACACGGCCCAGGAUCCGACGGGUGGGAGCAGUAGGGAAGCGUAGGCAAGAGGGGGAGGCCUAACCGAGAAACGCCGCGUGAGUGAAGAAGGUUUUCGGAUCGUAGAGCUCUGUUGUAAGAGAAGAACGGGUGUGAGAGUGGAAAGUUCACUCUGUGACGGUACCUUACCAGAAAGGGACGGCUAACUACGUG